UUUUUUUUUUUUUUCCUCACCGAGCGUGAACUUGUUAGAUAAGACAGACGAGGCCACGAGAAAUGGAAACACAGAAAAAGCCCAAGAGCACAGCCUAUGAGGCUGACAGGCGGCGGCCCACGGUCUCGGAGGCACGGGCGAAGGCUGGUUCCGAGCGUGUCUGGUUGUAGCCUCCGCGCCGCCAGCCCGGCCACAGGCUCCCGUGGCUGCCCAGGCUGGGCUGUCUGCCUUUGGGCCCUGGCAUAAACUCCUCCAAAAGCGAGAGAAGGGCCCGCAACUAAGCUAAGAAUAUGCACACCCGCUCGCUCGCUCGGAACACAACACUGGGCCCCAAUCUUUUCCUCCAGGAAAUUCUAUGUCUGGACCAUAAAAUAAACGGUGUGUUGGAGAGGCUGGGUUUUAAGGAUGUCUGGAUUUACACAUGAAACAUUAUUUUCCUAAUUAAAAGUAAGUCUCUCUCCCUCUUUAUAUGCAUACACACGCUAUUUAUUGCACGCCCCUAUUUGCUUGAAAAACUGCUCAGAGCAUCUGUAGUGCACACUGCUCAUUCUUUGUCCCCUCGAACUUUUGCAGCUGAUGGUGUGGUUUGUGGAGAUCAAUUAGCACUGGAUUUUGCUCCAGGAUUGCUCCCCGGGGCGAACAAAUGAAGCCAACUCCUCUCCAGCGAGUUUUUUCCGCCCAUGAGUGUAUCCAAGCCAGGACUGCUGAAGCAGUUCGAAAUCCCCAGCCUUGGUUUCAUUUGAUUUUGUUGUUGCUGUUAUUGAUAAAUAUUGGGUCAUACACAAGCCACUUGUCAGAGCCUUUGGCUUCAUCUCGCAGCUGCAGCUCCUAACGAGGCAUUUGAGUCGUGUCCUAGAAACUGGAAGGAUUCGAGGGGAAAGCAAAGACACGCUCUCUGCCCCUUAAAUUUUGGAGAUGGUCCCUUAAGAUUCUAGUCCUGUCUGCUGUCACGUUUAUUUCUUAAUUUGUUCCAAUACGUGAACCCUGGGUAGAUAUGUGUAACCCCCUUAAAAAAGACUAAAAAGAUCUUUAAAAAAAGAAGAGGAGACUCUUGAUCCCAGUCCUCUAGGUUUAUGUGAAACCAAAGGAGCACAUAGAUAGACAGAUAAUUGUUGUAAUUGCAGGGGGUGAGGGUGAGGUUGUAGGUAGGGCGUUUGGGGGUUGUGUAAUCGGAGUAAUAUGUACAGUUUUUCUUUCGGCGGCGCUGUAUAUAUUCUUUCCCUUGAUACAUGUUGCACAUGAACUGAACUCAUGGUCUGCUUGUCUUAGCAUGUUUGAAGCCCCAGACAUCUAACAGUAUCAUUACAGGAAAGAGACAAAGCCCCAAAGACUCCAGGCUGCCUUGGGAGUUCAUCUCGGCGUUGAACUUUUCCGGCCAGUUCACCCGCACGUUCAGACUCCCUUGCUGCGCAGAGUGCAGGUCUUCCCCGGGCUGAAGCGGGGGUGUGGGGGAAGAAACAGCUGAUUUUCGACAUUUCACAGGGACUCUUUCUAUUUAUCAGUGUUACCGAAGUGUACGUUACUGGAAAAACAACAAAACAAGCAUAGAGCUGCAAUUUUCCAGAAAAUAGGAUCCCCAAAUAUAAAAAUAAAAAGUAGCAGAUAAGAUGUAUAAUUCAAUCAAAUUACACAAAAUUGCUUGAAAAUCCAGAACAGUAGCAAUCCAUUAUGCCUCUGUUUUAUUAGUGACAAGCACAAUUACUCUAAAAUAAAGAACACUGGUGAAUAUAUAAUUGGCUGUAAUCAUGUUAGUGUUUGAAUAAAAAUGACGGGAACAUUUAACACUUUGACAACAAAAUGUUCAGAAAUAACUUAUUUAUUCAAACAGUUUUUAUUUUCCUCCAAGUGAAGGAGAAACACAGUUUGCUUAGGAAAAUCAAUGACUUUUCCCUUCAAUAAAUAAAUAUCCAAAAGGGGAAAAAACAGCCCCACACCUCUAUAUUAUCGCUAUUAUUAUUUUUAACCAGCAAGAAGCUUAAUCCUGGGCUUGAAGUCAGCUUCUCCCAGCGGCGGUUCGGCACCAAAGUCUGCCCCCUAGAGGAGGAACUCGGAAGCUCAUCACGGCGCCAACCCCUUUUCCCGCGGUGACCUCGGGAAUUAAAGUUAAUAUUCCUUUGCAAAUUGCUCUCCAAACUGACUCCCCCACCUCACCCCCUCAUAUCCCCUUCCGCCCUACAACAGCGUCACAAUAUUUUCUUAGUAAUUGCUGUGCGCUGCUGACAAAAGCGCCGAGUCUCCGGUAGCGCGUUGCUCCGCCUGGAAAGCGCGAGGGCGCCCUGGGGAAGCCGGCCAGGGGAGUCCCGGUCCUGCGGACCAUCCCCGCUCAUCCGCUGCGCUCCAGGGCAGCCUGAAGUCGGUUCCCGGAGUGACGGCCGGCGACUCGGACACCGCGUUCCUGUGCUGCCUUUUGCGGGCUUCCUUAGAGAAAACAGUCCUGGUACGGCUGCCGGGCAGUCAGUACCUUAAGGGCUUUCCCUAGCGCACAUCUCCCCCAAGAAAAAGCCAUUAUCUAAUUAGAUCCCGGAGCCCAGUGGUUCCCUUCAUUGUCCCAGAUGGGUAUGCUGGAAAUACUGACUUAAAGAUAUUAAGGAGGAGGCCCUGCUUGCUCAAGCUCCCUGCCCCCAGGAGAGACCCAUCCGGAAGAAAUCCCUGAUUUUCACACUGGGUCCUGGAGUGCCUAGAAACUUCGGCGGGGCGCGUAGUCCCGGGACCCGAGGGACUAGGAACCUUUUCGCAUUGUAGUUCUGGUGGACCCCAUCGGUCCUUUAGGCAGAGGAAAGCCAACCUCACUUACUGAAACCAGCGCUGGGAGAUGGUGAAUGUGGCCACGGAAAGAGAAAUAACUGCUUCUGUGAGCUCCAGGCUCCCUUCAGACCCCUUCUCAGAUGGACCCAGAGCCCCGCCAGUUCCCAGGUCGUCCUCCCUGCCCCGCUUGAUCAGAAUUUUAUUUUAUUUGUUUAAAGGUAGAAGAACACAGUUCAAGUUGAAGUUCUGUUAGAAAGGCCAGGAAAGAGCAAGCGAAUUGAAGUCGCCGUGGAAAAGGCGAUGUGUGAAAUCAUCAGACUUAAAUUGGCUUUUAAUUCUUCUGUGUGGGUGUGUUUUGCCCCCCGAACCCCUCUCUCAGCUCUUCCCUUCUCUCCUCUUCUUUCCGUCCUUCCUCCUUUCUUUCCUUCCUUCCUUCGUUUUCUUCGACUUCUAAGUCCUCCUGCCCCGCAGCUUCCUAAGUGCAAGCAAAAGGAAAUAGUGGGUGUGCUGGAAGCCACCGUUGGUACCCAGAGUCUCUUGGACACCCUGUCCUGGCCCCUUGGUAGUCUCCUCGGUGGUGGAGUUGGAAUGAAACACCUGGGAGCUGUUUCUUCUUCCCCUCCCUCUCGAAGAGGACGUCUGGAUCGUGGACCGAGGAGCUAUUUCCCACGCCCAGCUUGUGAGAUCACUUCAGGAUUCCCUCCUGGCCACUUCUGUGAUGUUCUCAGCCCCAGCCUUCUGAAGAAAACUCCAUUGGGUUUACUUUUCUGUUGGAGGGAUGCUCUGGAGGAAGCACUAACUGGAACUUAGAUGGCAGCCUUUUGUCAGGCCUUCCUACUCCCUCAAAAGGGACAAUCUUUGAAAAAAAAUGAAUUGUACUCGAAACAUCAUUGUUAGUGAUCGUGGAAGCCCACAUUUUGGAGUUGGAGGGAAUCUAAGAUAUCAUGUAAUUCAGCACCUCUGGAGAAAUAUCUGAAUCAAAGCGUCCUGGAAACUGACUACAGAUAAGAAAACUGAAGCCAUGAUCUAAAUCACCUGAGCAAGGUCAUAUACCCGCUGAAGAAAAGGCAAGAAGACAGGAAACUGCUGGCUAAGAAAAAGAAUGUUCAAGAAAACUCACAGUGCAAGCUUUCACAGAAACCUUCACAGAGCUCACCAAUCUUUUUAAAAUUUGAAAAUAUGAAUCAUCAUGCCAAAACAUUUAAUAGGGAGAAAUGCAUAUGGUGCAUUAUCUGCUUACAAGCAAAUCUGUGAUGAGAAAAGAAACAAACCAAACAAGACACCAUAGGUACAUUUUUGAAAAUAGUGACACCUGUUGAAGAAGAGCUUCAGGCAAAUCCUUCCUCAAGAUUUCCAGAGGAAGGCGCUGUCAUUCCAGUAGGUGACAGCUCCAUGUGUGCUACUGCCACUGAAGACCUUCCAGUGGGACACAGCGAGGAUGGAUAAGACAGUGACACUGAUAAUCCUGACCCUCUGAAGGUCCAGCUAGGAGGUGUCUUUCUAUCUCAGUUUAUAACAAAACAAUUUAAAAAUAAACAAAAACUUUAAAAUAACAACAUAAACCAAAAAGUUUUGGAUAGCUAUUGAAUGUGUUUGCACUUUAGACUAAAUGUUCUUUUAAAAGCCAAGUUGUUAAAAAUGUUAAAAAGCUUAUAAGUAAAAAGAUUACAGUAAGCUAUGGUUAUUAAAAAAUUAAUUGAGCAUAGCCAUGUUACGAUGAUUGUGAAGUCUACAGUAAUGUGCAGUAAGACCCUCAGCCUUUGUGUUCACCCAAACCCUCUGCCUGGUUCAUCCAAAGCAACUGCCAGUCUUUCAAGCUCUGUUUAUAGUAAGUGCCCUAAAUAGGUGUUAUGUACCAUGUUUUUACUGUGCCUGUUGUAUGUUUAGAUACACAAAUACCAUUGCAUUACAAUUAACUACGCUAUUCAGUAGGGUAACAUGCCGUACAGUUUUAUAGCUUAGAAGACAUAGGCAAACCAUACAGUCUAGGCUUUGUCAUCUAGGUUUAUUAUAGGGGUCAUACAGUGAAA